rnacentral:rRNA from 1 species
CCUACGGGGGGCAGCAGUGGGGAAUAUUGGACAAUGGGCGAAAGCCUGAUCCAGCCAUGCCGCGUGUGUGAAGAAGGCCUUCGGGUUGUAAAGCACUUUCAGUGGGGAAGAAAGCCUUGGGGCUAAUACCCUCGAGGAAGGACAUCACCCACAGAAGAAGCACCGGCUAACUCCGUGCCAGCAGCCGCGGUAAUACGGAGGGUGCGAGCGUUAAUCGGAAUUACUGGGCGUAAAGCGCGCAUAGGCGGUCUGAUAAGCCGGUUGUGAAAGCCCCGGGCUCAACCUGGGAACGGCAUCCGGAACUGUCAGGCUAGAGUGCAGGAGAGGAAGGUAGAAUUCCCGGUGUAGCGGUGAAAUGCGUAGAGAUCGGGAGGAAUACCAGUGGCGAAGGCGGCCUUCUGGACUGACACUGACGCUGAGGUGCGAAAGCGUGGGUAGCAAACAGGAUUAGAUACCCGGGUAGUC